CACGCUCCAAAAACCAGUUUCACUGGAAGUGUGUGCUGGUGUUCAUGUUCCUGCCCUGUAUAAUCAAUUAAGACAUGUCACGUUGCUAAACAAGACCACUGUGUGCACCUGCUGUCUGGAGCCAGAGCUGCGACAUGUAGCCGAGAAGCCCACCUCCCGUCUCCUGGGCCCUUGGCCCUUCGUGAUGCUGUGCUUUCUAGAAUGGCUGAACCAACUUUAUCAUAAACACUCAGCAUGACUUUCAAACAUCAAGCAUUUCCUCCUAUCAGAAUUGCUCCUGAUUGUUUUCAGUCUGGAAUUGAAGAGAUGUUUUUGGUGGAAAUUUGGGAGGAAGAAGUUACAACUUGAACACACAUAAAUCUCUCCUGAUCAGGCCAAUGAAUGUGUGUUAAAUCAAGACAAAAUUGGAAUCUUUUGGCUUUA